GGGGUAUUAGUUUAAUGGUAGAACAAGAUGCUUCGGUCAUCUUUGUUGUAGUUCAAGUCUGCAGUAUCCUU
rnacentral:tRNA from 1 species